rnacentral:miRNA from 2 species
UCAAGCUGCCAGCAUGAUCUA